rnacentral:rRNA from 1 species
AGUGAACGCUGGCGGUAGGCCUAACACAUGCAAGUCGAACGGCAGCACAGUAAGAGCUUGCUCUUACGGGUGGCGAGUGGCGGAAGGGGGCGGAAUACAUCGGAAUAUACUUUUUCGUGGGGGAUAACGUAGGGAAACUUACGCUAAUACCGCAUACGACCUACGGGUGAAAGCAGGGGAUCUUCGGACCUUGCGCGAUUGAAUGAGCCGAUGUCGGAUGAGUUAGUUAGCGGGGGAAAGGCCCACCACAGCGACGAUGCGUAGCUGGUAUGAGAGCAUGAUCAGCUAGACGGUCAGUGAGACAGGGCCGAGACUCCUACGGGAGGAAGCAGUGGGGAAUACUGGAGGAGGGGGGCAAGCCUGAUCCUGCCAUACGGCGUGGGUGAAGAAGCAGUUAGGGUGGGAAAGUCCUGUUGUCGUGAAAGAAAAGCAGCAGUUUAAUACCCCGCUGUUCUGACGGUACCCAAAGAAUAAGCACCGGCUAACUUCGUG